GAGGAUUUGAUCCUGGUCCAGGAUGAACGCUGGCGGCGUGGAUAAGGCAUGCAAGUCGAGCGGACCUUACUUUGAUCUUGGUUUGAAGCACCGAGAGUAGCAAUACAAUUUGUGCGGAUGGCCGAGGGAUUUGUUUGGUUAGCGGCGAACGAGUUAGUAACACCUUGGUUACGUACCCUGAAGUCGGGUAUAGCCCACCGAAAGGUGGGGUAAUCCCCGAUGGUCUCGCAAGAGUAAACCCGCAAGGGGCUUCAGGAUCGACCUAGGUCCGAUCAGCUAGUUGGUAGGGUAACGGCCUACCAAGGCUAUGACCGGUAGGGGAGGUGAGAGCCUGACCCCCAACGACGAGACUGAGACACGGCUCGUACUCCUACGGGAGGCAGCAGUCGAGAAUAUUCGACAAUGGGCGAAAGCCUGAUCGAGCGACGCCGCGUGCAGGAAGAAGGCCUUCGGGUUGUAAACUGCGGUAGCAGGGGAGGAACUUCGGUGACUGUACCCUGCGGAAAGAGGUUGGUAACUACGUGCCAGCACCCGCGGUAAUACGUAGACCUCAAGCGUUAUCCGGAUUUAUUGGGCGUAAAGCGCGUGUAGGGGGCCCGGCGCGUCUUCCGUUAAAGCCCACCGCCCAACGGUGGAAGUGCGGAGGAUACGGCCGGACUAGAGGAAGUUAGAGGUGCAUGGAACGCACGGUGUAGGGGUGAAAUCCGUUGAUAUCGUGCGGAACACCAAAGGCGAAGGCAGUGCACUGGGACUCUCCUGACCCUGAGACGCGAAAGCGUGGGGAGCAAAAAGGAUUAGAUACCCUUGUAGUCCACGCCCUAAACGAUGCCUGCUUGCUGUUUCGAGUAUCGACCCUCGGGGUGGCGUAGCUAACGCGUUAAGCAGGCCGCCUGGGAAGUACGGCCGCAAGGCUAAAACUCAAAGGAAUAGACGGGGACUCGCACAAGCGGUGGAGCAUGAGGUUUAAUUCGACACCAAGCGAGGAACCUUACCAGGGUUUGAAAUUCUCGCGGAAAGCCGCCGGAAACGGUGGCCCUCUCUCAAGGACCGCGAGGACAGGUGCUGCAUGGUUGUCGUCAGUUCGUGCCGUGAGGCGUUCCCUUAAUUGGGGUAACGAACGCAACCCCUAUCCGGUGUUAUCUGUGUCACCGGAAACUGCCCCCGCUAAAGGGUAGAAUCCAGUAUCUAGAAACUAGAAUUUUGAUCCGUGCCGUUCACUGGAUUGUAAAUUCCGGAUUCUAGUUUCUUGGAUUGUACUUUUCAGCGGGGGAGGAAGGAGGGGAUGACGUCAAAUCCGCAUGGCCCUUUGAUACCCUGGGCUACACUCAUGCUACAAUGGCCGAGACAAUGGGUUGCCAAGCCGUAAGGCGGAGCUAAUCCCAUCAAACUCGGUCCCAGUUCGGAUUGGGGGCUGCAACUCGUCCCCAUGAAGUUGGAAUCGCUAGUAAUCGCGUAUCAGCCACGACGCGGUGAAUACGUUCUCGAGUCCUGUACUCACUGCCCGUCAAGCCAAGGGAGCCGGGAAGAGGUGAAGAUCGCUUCGGCGGUUCAGCCUUAGCUCGGUAACAUGGGCUAAGUCGUAACAAGGCACGCGUAGCGGAAGCUGUGCGUGGAUCA
rnacentral:rRNA from 1 species